GCUGGUGCUGCUCAGCCUGCGGCAGCGGAUCAGUCGUAGUGCAGACGCCGACAUUUGCGGCUUUACUCGCAGAUAUCCGACAAGAACGCACAUCAGAUGACACCCAAAAACCGGAAAAUAUUCAGCAAGUUGUUGAUGUGGUGCUAAGCGGCUUCAUGGUGCAUCUAUAAAGAAGGCAGGUGGUGGGGUCUGGCCAGCAUGGAAGCCCCUAAGGUUGCUGUUGCUCCAGAAGGAAUCUGGUCUGUUCCUGGCUCUGGGUGGAGUAAUCAUAGAACUCACAGUGUUG